UGUUGCUGUGCUGUACAAGGCACCACUUAGGCCCCUUACAACAGCAUCAUGACAUGGGCGUAACCAUGUUACUAUCAUCUUUGAGGCUCCAGGUCACAUAGCAAGUCAGUGAGUGGGUAGACCCAAGGCUUGAGUCCGAUGAGUCUGACCCAAUGCUUAUGUUUUGCCUACCCCUGCUUUUGCACAGACUCCACACAAUUGUUGAAGUCUGCUCCCCUGCUCCACAACUGGGCUGGCCGGCACAGUGCCUCCUUAUCUUCUGAUCAUAUUGUACUCAGCACCUGCCUCUGUGGCAACAAUGCAGUCACUAAAUGGUGAGGCAGAUAAAUUUUAGUUCUGUGGAGAAGGGAACGACAGAGGAUGAGAUGGUUAGAUGGCAUCACCAACUCGAUGGUCAUGAGUUUUAGUUCCCUGUUGGUGAUGGACAGGGAAGCCUGUCAUGCUGCAGUCCGUGGGGUCACAAAGAGUUGGACACGACUGAGCAACUGAACUAAACUACCCAACAUUUUUCUCUCUUAUGAUAAGAAGACCCCAAGUUUUCUUUUGGGAGCCUUCUCUCCUCCUGUCCUCCUGAUGAUAGAGAGGCAGAAAGUGAAGAGGAACUAAAGAGCCUCUUGAUGAAAGUAGAAGAGGAGAGUGAAAAAGCUGGCUUAAAACUCAACAUUCAGAAAACUAAGAUCAUGACAUCUAGUCCCAUCACUUCAUAACAAAUAGAUGGGGAAACAAUGGAAACAGUGACAGACUUUAUUUUGGGGGCUCCAAAAUCACUGCAGAUUGUGACUGCAACCAUGAAAUUUAAAGACACUUGCUCCUUGGAAGAAAAGCUAUGACAUAGCUAUGCUAUGCUACCUAGAUAGCAUAUUAAAAAGCAGAGACAUUACUUUGCUGACAAAGGUCUGUCUAGUCAAAGCUUUGGUUUUUCCAAUAGUCAUAUAUCGAUGUGAGAGUUGGACUAUAAAGAAAGCUGAGCACUGAAGAAUUGAUGCUUUUGAACUGUGGUGUUGGAGAAGACUCUUGAGAGUUCCUUGGACAGUAAGAAGAUCCAACCAGUCUAUCCUAAAGGAAAUUAGUCCUGAAUAUUCUUUGGAAGGACUAAUGCUGAAGCUGAAAAUCUAAUCAUUUGGCCACCUGAUGCGAAGAUCUGACUCAUUGGAAAAGACCCUGAUGCUGGGAAAGAUUGAAGGCGGGAGGAGAAGGGGAUGACAGAGGAUGAGAUGGUUGGGUGGAAUCACCAACUUGAUGGACGUGAGUUUGAGCAGGCUCCCAGAGUUGGUGAUGGGCAAGGAUGCUUGACAUUCUGCAGUCCAUGGGGUCACAGAGAGUUGGAUGUGACUGAGUGACUGAACUGAACUGAGAGAGGCUUCCAGUCACAGGGAUUUAUCUCCUUGUUCUUGAAAUUGACUUAUGACUCAUGUUGAACAAUGGAGUACUUUGUAGUGAUUGGACUGUGAUGGAUACAUGAAUAAAUAACCUAUAGGAGUUUUUUUUUAAGAGAG
rnacentral:lncRNA from 1 species